rnacentral:rRNA from 1 species
CCUACGGGUGGCAGCAGUGAGGAAUAGUGGUCAAUGGGAGAGAUCCUGAACCAGCCAAGCCGCGGGAGGGAAGACGGCCCGAUGGGUUGUAAACCUCGGUUGUCGGAGAACAAAACCCGGGACGUGUCCCGGACUGCGUGUAACCGAAGAAAAAGCAUCGGCUAACUCCGUGCCAGCAGCCGCGGUAAUACGGAGGAUGCGAGCGGUAUCCGGAUUUAUUGGGUUUAAAGGGUGCGUAGGCGGUCCGUUAAGUCAGCGGUAAAAUUGCGGGGCUCAACCCCGUCGCGCCGUUGAAACUGGCAGACUUGACUUGGCGAGCAGUACGCGGAAUGCGCGGUGUCGCGGUGCACUGCCUAGCUCUCGCGC